AACUCCACAAUCUUCCUUAUUUCUCAGUUCUUCGUGAAGUUCUCUGUAGUAUCAAUGGCCGGUUCUAUCAAGGUCCAUGGAAUUCCCACUUCCACAGCCACUGGUAGGGUUCUUGCUGCCCUUUACGAGAAGGGUCUUCAAUUCGAGCUUGUGAAUGUCAAAUUACACGAAGGAGAACACAAGAGAGAGCCCUUCCUCUCGUUGAAUCCCUUUGGUCAAGUUCCUGCGUUCCAAGAUGGAGAUCUGGCGCUUUUUGAAUCUAGAGCGAUCACGCAGUACAUCUCGGGAAAUUAUGCUAGUAAUGGAACUCAGUUGAUUCCUCAAGAUCCCAAGAAAGGGGCGCUCGUAUUAACAUGGAUUGAGGUUGAGAGCCAUCAUUUUGACCCAGUAGCCAUGAAAUUGGUGUUCGAGCUGUGCUUGAAGCCAGUUUUUGGGUUGGGUGAGGCAGAUCCUGCAGUAGUUGAGCAAAGUGAAGCCGAGUUAGGCAAAGUUCUUGAUAUCUACGAGAAAAGGCUGUCUGAAUCCAAAUACUUAGGAGGUGAGUCCUUCAGUUUGGCUGAUCUGCACCAUCUCCCUGUUCUGGGAUACUUGUUGGCCACACAGUCCAAGAAACUCUUUGAAUCCCGACCCCAUGUCAAUGCUUGGGUGGCUGAUAUCAUAGCCAGGCCAUCUUGGGCUAAAGUUCUUGAACUUCGCAAGUAAUGGAGUCCUAGACUUUGCAGCUGAGUCCUUCACUUGAUGUGUGUGCCUGACCAUAUCACCAUAAAUUUGAAUAAAAGGCUGUGUGCUGUGUAGUCGUCUCCAGGCACUGGAGAUGGGUCUGUCUUUUUUUUCUUCUUCUUUCUGUUUUAUCUCUUGUUCUAGAGUAUCAUGUAUCGAGAUUGGUGCUUCUGAAUUUGAU
rnacentral:misc_RNA from 1 species